rnacentral:rRNA from 1 species
UACAGAGGGUGCGAGCGUUGUUCGGAAUUAUUGGGCGUAAAGGGUGUGUAGGUGGCGCCGUAAGUCGGGUGUGAAAUCUCGGGGCUUAACUCCGAAACUGCAUUCGAUACUGCGGUGCUUGAGGACUGGAGAGGAGGCUGGAAUUCAUGGUGUAGCAGUGAAAUGCGUAGAGAUCAUGAGGAAGACCAGUGGCGAAGGCGGGUCUCUGGACAGUUCCUGACACUGAGACACGAAGGCCAGGGGAGCAAACGGG